UACACUUUUACAAAGGAUGUGUUAAUUUUUUGCCCAGCUCUAAUUGAAAGCAUCAAAAACGAUGCCAAAUGCGAUUUAUAAAGUAAGUGGGAACUGAGCAAAAGUCAAUACGUGACAAGUUGUGAGGAAGAAUGUGUUGUCCAUGUUUGUUUUCCAUUUUUUACUAAAAACUAAAGGGGGCAAGUCAUGCUCCAAUAAGGCCAAAAAAACAUAAAACCGCUCACACAACAUGUGCUAUACGCUUCCAGUGAGUAUUCACCAAAUAAAGUGUUUCUUUCUGACUGAACAAUGGUGUUAAACGUUUAUACAACUUCUGGCUGAGAAUCAGUUCAUCAUUACAUAACUACAUGACAGAUCAUUUUGCACAGUGGCUACACUGUAUUCCAACAGAGCGCUAUUCCUUUGUACAUAACCUUCUGUAGGCAGAACUGUCUGUGUUCUCCAGCAAAGACCCUUCAGAUUUCAGCAUGCCUGAACUUGAACUUGCUGGAAAAAAACCCUCGGCACAAGAGGGGUCCGGCACACCAGAUACAGCCAGAGCUGCUCUCAAAAAUCAAUGGAGAACUUCAACAAGUUCAGAUGGAGUUCAACCAGAUUAGAGGCGGUGACUAACAGAGUAAGAAUAAGCGCAGGAUCCAGAAUAAAGAGAACAAAGUCUUCACAUACUCAUCUGUGGACCUGUAAUUAGAGAUAGUACUGAAGCCUGUGGUGGAAAAAUGAAGACGCACAGCACCGUAGAUAAAGCCAUUGACCUGCUGUGACCAAUAAUUGCAGUCGCCUUUAAGAACAUCCAGUGUCUUUAGUGCGUAAGAAGGGAGCAUGAACUGAAAUCACUUUUACAGCAUAAUUUAGACUCAUACAGGGAUGCGAACACUUGUGUUGGGUUUAUGGAAGGAACAGCUAUCUACUACAAAUUGUAAUAUUACAAAAAGUGCUAAAACAUCUUCAAAGUAAUAAAAUUUUAAUAGGUGCACCUCACUAAUCGACUCAAUGCAUUUACAUUUAAUUUAAUCUAUUAGGAGAAGUUUUUACCUGUAACACCUGUAUAUAACAUGUAUUUACACAUGCAGCACGUGCACACACACACACACACACACACACACACAGCCAUUUGCACUUUUAGAUAAUUAUAAUAGUUGAAUCUAACCUAAUACUGUCUGUGCAAAAGGAUGAGCAAAAAGCUGUUUGAUGGGUCCCUAACGGAUUUCAACAUGACUCCAUAUGGAAAACCUGCUCAUAGCUGAAAAACUAUUUUAAGCAUGUCCCACUGUUGUAAUUAAACACAACUAGACACGUGAACAUCUGCAGUGAGGAUAUCACACAAAUCUGAACAGCAGGUAGAAUCAAAUUAAAAGGCUUUCACUGUGAAGAUAGUAAAAGAUGCAUACAAAGUAAAAAAAAAAAAAAAACUCAAAAAUGACAAUUCUGUCAUCAUUUACUCACCCUCAUAUUGGUACAAACCUGUAUAAAUUCCUUAGUUUUGAUGAACACGGAGGAAUAUAUUUUAAGGAAUGUUUAUAACCAAACCAUUCAUGAGCCGCUUUCACUUCCAUAGGAUUCUUUUUUUCUACUAUGGAAGUGAAUGGUGCUCAUGAUCGGUUUGAGAAAAUGAUGACCGAAUUUUCAUUUUUGGGUGAACUAUCCCUUUAAGGAGAUGACUAGUUACCAAUGUUCCCUCUAAGCUGCGCGCGUGCGCGGCCGCGCAGGCCAGCCAAAGUGGCCGCGCAAUAGAUUUGUCAGACCGCGCACAUUUUUCAGACCGCACAUAAACAUUGAUGCAUUUGCUGUUGUAAAAGAAUUAAGAGAGAGAGAAGGCGAGUGUUCUAGAAGGAGAAGAAACUUUCAACCAAUCGCUGAUCUUGCUACGGUGACAGACACUUUUAUGAGCCAAUGGUAGCAGCGCAUUCAGUUCACACAGUGACGCUGCCAGCACGGACGAGCACAGAGUGAGAGCGAGCCAGAUGAGCAGCUGCACGGGUCGAUCUCAAGAAACUAAAAUAUUUAUUAAGAGGAAAAAGUUCAGAUUCAAAACAGUGAUUUAAAACAAAUUAUUGGAUUCCUGAAGUGAUGCGAUAACUUGGAAAAGCUGUCGCUAGAGUGAGGAGAGAGCAAAAUAGAGAAUUAGAACGGAGGCAGAUGCAGAAUCACAGAGCAUCAAAACACUGCGAAUGAACUUCUUCUUUUAAAUAAGAAGUUAAAAUGUAUGCUUUGGCUGGGUUUUUUUGUGAGAAUUUCGAACAUCUGUAAAGUUCUCCUGCUCCAUCUUGGACACGCGAGACAAUUAAGUGAAGGUGUAUACAAAAAGG